GAUGAACGCUGACAGAAUGCUUAACACAUGCAAGUCGACUCGAGUCUUCGGACUUGGGUGGCGCACGGGUGAGUAACGCGUAAAGAACUUGCCUCUUAGACCGGGACAACAUCUGGAAACGGAUGCUAAUACCGGAUAUUAUGGUUUUUUCGCAUGGAGGAAUCAUGAAAGCUAGAUGCGCUAAGAGAGAGCUUUGCGUCCCAUUAGCUGGUUGGUGAGGUAACGGCCCACCAAGGCAAUGAUGGGUAGCCGGCCUGAGAGGGUGAACGGCCACAAGGGGACUGAGACACGGCCCUUACUCCUACGGGAGGCAGCAGUGGGGAAUAUUGGACAAUGGACCGCAAGUCUGAUCCAGCAAUUCUGUGUGCACGAUGACGUUUUUCGGAAUGUAAAGUGCUUUCAGUCGGGAAGAAGUCAGUGACGGUACCGACAGAAGAAGCGACGGCUAAAUACGUGCCAGCAGCCGCGGUAAUACGUAUGUCGCAAGCGUUAUCCGGAUUUAUUGGGCGUAAAGCGCGUCUAGGCGGCAAGGAAAGUCUGAUGUGAAAAUGCGGAGCUCAACUCCGUAUGGCGUUGGAAACUGCCUUACUAGAGUACUGGAGAGGUAGGCGGAACUACAAGUGUAGAGGUGAAAUUCGUAGAUAUUUGUAGGAAUGCCGAUGGGGAAGCCAGCCUACUGGACAGAUACUGACGCUAAAGCGCGAAAGCGUGGGUAGCAAACAUG
rnacentral:rRNA from 1 species